rnacentral:misc_RNA from 1 species
GGAAGGAUCAUUCCUAUCCUAAAACAACCCCAUUCAGCUGAUGUUACCCCACUCUUCAUCUUUAUAAAAAGACAAAAUUUAUACUUUCAAUGAUGGAUGUCUCGGGUCUCUCAACGAGGAAGAGCGCAGCAAACUGCGAAAAGCAGCAUGAAACGCACUAUACGUGAAUCAUCAGAUUCUUGAACGCAAAUGGCAGUUGUUUGGUUCUCCAACGACUAUGUUUGAUUCAGUGUCUUAAAACCCUUUCUCCCUUUGGAGCGCUGAACUGGUACAAUUGUGCUGGUUUGAAGUUUUUGUUGAUAUGUUUCACUCAACGUACGGAGAUCCCGCUUCGUUUUGUGUUAGAUCUCAACAACUUUCAACCUUUUGACCUGAAUUCAAGCAAGACUACCCGCUGAAUUUAAGCAUAUAAUUAAGCGGAGGAAAAGAAACUAACUAGGAUUCCCUUAGUAGUGGCGAACGAAGUGGGAAAAGCCCAAACCGUAACCUAUCAGUCUUGGCUGAUGGAUUGAGGUUGUGCUGGAGGACCAGUUGGUAGUCAGGGUCAAGCCUCGUGAAUGCGAGCGCCAAAGAGGGUGAGGGCCCCGUCCUUACUCUGAAACUGCCAGCGGUCGGCCUUCAAGCUUUGAGUCGUGUUCCUUGGGAGUGGAGCGCAAAUGGGUGGUAGCUUUCAUCUAAGGCUAGAUAUAGGAGAGACACCGAUAGUGAAGAAGUACCGUGAGGGAAAGAUGAAAAGAACCUCGAAAGGGGGAUUAAAAUAGCCUGAAAACAUUGAAAGGGAAGUGAUUGGAGUUUUAGUUGCCAUUGCACAAGCACUUCUGAGACUUCUUUAUGAGUGUGAAAGCCACAUACUAGAAGUACGAGGAAAUUGCUUGUGCAUGCAAACAGGUUGGGCCUAAAGUUGAUAUUAGGUAACAUAUUUGAAUGUGAGCCCUGCUUACAUGAUUUGCUUACCUAACUCUUUUGGGUGAGAGAUGCAACCUUUGUAAAGAGCUUCAAACAACCCGUCUUGAAACACGGACCAAGGAGUCUAACUCAUGUGCAAGUUCUAAGGUUUGAAACCUUUGAGCGAAAUGAAAGUGAUAGUUUGGAUACUUGCAGAAACGACCAACUUCCUCGUGAGGUUUGUGUAGGAGCAUGUGGGUUCGGACCCGAAAGAUGGUGAACUAUGCCUGAGUAGGGUGAAGCCAGGGGAAACCCUGGUGGUGGCUCGUAGCGAUACUGACGUGCAAAUCGUUCGUCAAACUUGGGUAUAGGGGCGAAAGACUAAUCGAACCAUCUAGUAGCUGGUUCCCUC